rnacentral:rRNA from 1 species
GUGUCAGCCGCCGCGGUAAUACAGAGGGUGCGAGCGUUAAUCGGAAUUACUGGGCGUAAAGCGCGCGUAGGCGGUUUUGUAAGUCGGGUGUGAAAUCCCCAAGCUUAACUUGGGAACUGCAUUCGAGACUGCAUAGCUAGAGUAUGGGAGAGGGAAGUGGAAUUUCAGGUGUAGCGGUGAAAUGCGUAGAUAUCUGAAGGAACAUCAGUGGCGAAAGCGACUUCCUGGACCAAUACUGACGCUCAUGUGCGAAAGCGUGGGGAGCAAACAGGAUUAGAAACCCUCGUAGUCC